UACAGAGGGGGCAAGCGUUGUUCGGAAUUACUGGGCGUAAAGGGCGCGUAGGCGCCUUCUAAGUCGAACGUGAAAUCCCCGGGCUCAACCCGGGAACUGCGUCCGAUACUGGAAGGCUUGAAUCCGGGAGAGGGAUGUGGAAUUCCAGGUGUAGCGGUGAAAUGCGUAGAUAUCUGGAGGAACACCGGUGGCGAAGGCGACAUCCUGGACCGGUAUUGACGCUGAGGCG
rnacentral:rRNA from 1 species